rnacentral:tRNA from 1 species
GCUCCUGUAGCUCAGUUGGUAGAGCGCUUCACUCGUAAUGAAGAAGUCGUGUGUUCGAGUCACAUCAGGAGCU